UAAAUAAUGCUUUAGAUCAGCACUAGCAAUUAUAUAGUAAUAAUUUUACUUUGUGGACAGGUAUGCGAGGUGUACCAAGUCCGUUUCCAUAGGUUUGUGAUGAUGUUUUUUUGUCUUGUUAAAUUUGUUGACUAAGGUUGGUUUUGACAGUAAUAUUUGGAUUAUAUGUUUGCAGUUCCUCCGGCGUACUAUGCUCACCUCGCUGCUUAUAGGGCACGCUAUUAUAUUGAGGAUGAGAUGUCGGAUAGUGGGUCUACUGGUGGAGGCCGAAAGCCGAAAGACAAGGUUGUAGAGGUUAGGCCGCUGCCCAGCAUAAAGGAUAAUGUGAAGGAAGUGAUGUUCUACGUCUGAUAAAUUAUGUUUGGUUGAUUGUGGGAAGUUGCGCAAGUAUAGUUGCACAGUUUGUGGAUGAUGGUGGAGUCUAAUUUUGGAGUUUUUGUUUUGGUGGUUGAGCGACUUGUUGUCUGAAGUUUGAAUUAUUAUAAAUCACACACUGUUUGUGGAUUACGAAAAUUACAUAAAUGUUCUUUAUUUUUAAGACAUGUUCUUAGAAAGGAGUUUUGGUAUCAUUCUUAAGCUUCUUUUAUAUCACCGAUUAAUACAAGAGACGAUGAAAUUUUAGAGAAUAAUGUCUUUUUAUUAAGAGUUUUUAAAUGUUCAGUACACAAAUGGUAAGAUACGCUCGGAAAUCCUCACUGCUCCUCCUUGCAACUCCAAUGAAUAAAAAAGCAAACCUAAUCAAUUUACUUUUUAAUUUACCAUUUUAAUAAACAUAGUAAAUACAAUUUUAUUAACUUAUUAAAUAAUUUUAUAAAUUUACAUAUUUUUAAUAAUUUCAUAAAAGUGUGAUAAUUUUAAAAACUUUUAUUAUAUAUAAUUUUUAAUCUAAUGUUUUCAAUAGUUAUAUUUUAUUAUCAUAUCACUUUACAAUUACGUUUGAAAUUAAAUAUACACCUCACCACUGUUUUUAUUCUCACUGCUAUUGCUGUUUUUAACUUUACCGAAGAUAAAUGUAUCGUCCAUCCCAAUUAAACCUUAGUCCAUUUAUAGUGGUUUUUUUACUUCGUUAAAGCUAGACAAACUAUGCCAUUAAAAUUUUAAUAGCUUAAGUUUAGAUUGGAUGAGCGAUGCGUUUAUUUUCGGUGAGAUUAAAAACAACAAUGGUAGUUAAAUUAGUUACUGUAGCGAUGAAAUUAGAUACUGUAGUAGUGAUAUUAGAAAUUGCGGUAAGGUGUGUGUUUAGAUUCAAACGCAACUAUAACGAUGAGUUGAGAAUAGAAAAUAACUAUUAAAGACAUUAGAUUUAUGAGUUCUCUCUCCUUUCAUCUUUUUUUUCACCCUUAAAUUCUGUUGAUGAAUAAAAAAUAUUCUUUAAAUAUCAAAGGAAAGCUCUCAUUUAAUCCUCUCAUCUGAUUGUAUGAAAACAGUUUUGUUCAUUCGUCAGUUAUUCUGCUCUAUCAUUGCUUUUAUCUGUUUCAUUUUUUUCCAAUCUAAAACUAAAAAAUAAGCACCAUCUUUUCCAUUCAUGAUGACACAGAAGGUGAAGAAAAUUAUAAAUUUUGAUUCAUCAAUGGGUAUGGGUGGUUAACCAAAAUAGAGAAGAUAAAAAAAGAAGAAGCAAUGUUUAAAAUAAAAGUCAUUUUCCUUUUUUUAAAAAUAUGGAUGAUUGAUAAUUUUAAAAAUAAUUUUCAUUAUUUUCACCAAAAUGUUUUGUAGAAUUAAAAAAGACGAGAACAAGAGUUUUUUAAUUUUAAAUGAACGAGUUCACAAUGGGUUCAAAUCCAUAUAAACACAAAAAAAUAAUUAUUUUUCAACAGUUUUUUUUUCUAAUAUUGAAUUCGAUACCCUGAUUUGAAUCCAUAUAAAUACAAAAUUUAUUUUAUUUUAUUAAAACAUGUUUUUAUUUCUAUUUAUCAAUUUUAAAAAAAAUAGAAAAUGAAAAUCAUGUUUCUAUUUACCAAAUAUUUCACAAAUUAAACUGACUUUAAUUGUUUAAAAAAAAGAAAAAAAAUUCUAUUAUUUUCUGGUGAAGUAGAAAUUAGGAAAGGGAAGGGAUGCUUGCUAUGGAAAUUGUGGAUGGAAAAAAGGAAGUUGUCAAUAAAGAAAAAAAAAAAUUUUUGGUAUUUUUUUAUGUCCGUUUUAUUGUUUAUGUUUGGGGUUCGUGGUUGUUCUUCUCAACAAUGUCAUCUUCAAUGUUUAAAUCUAUGUCUCAAAUUAAGAAUACAAUGUGCCUUACCAUUACACCCAACACUUGUUGGUAAAAAAAAAGUUUAAAAUUUAUAUGAUAUUUUAAAAACAUAUAGAUAAUUUAAUGGUAAAAUUAUAAUUUUAUUUUUUUGAAGGAUAAUGCUAAUAUUGUAAUUAUAUUUAUUAUUGUAAUUUUACAUAAAAAUUAAAUUAAUUAACUUGUAACAUCAACUAAGUUAAAUAUUUCUUUAAGUAUUAAAUUAUGUAAAAAAUAUAUUAAUAAAUAGGUGAAAUGAGGUUUUGGUUGAACCUGAUUUCUUAAGUUUAACCCUUACUACCCUAACUCAACGACAUUAUUUUUUGAAAGAACUCGAUCAAGAUUGCUUUUUCCGUAGUUACUUUUCCUUAAAAAAACCCAAGGGAAAGUUUAACUGUUAAUGAUUUGCUUAAAUGAGUUGGGCUUUUUGUUAUUUAUUGUCUCGUUAAUUUUUAUUUUCAUUGGAUUUUAAUGUGUAUUUUCCUUUUCUGUUUUCUUAUUUAUUUACUUGUCUCUUUGUCCAUCUCUGUUACUUGCAUCUUCUUCUCGUCUCUUUUGAUGGCCUUUGGUGCUUCAUUGCUUAUAGGUUACUGUAACGCCUGAGGUAACCGCAAAAAAGGUUAACAGAGCAAUAAUGAAGCAACUUAUUGAUGUAUACAAAGAGUCGCAUCUUGGACGUCGGUGUCCAGCUUAUGAUGGCAGGAAGAGUUUGUACACUGCUGGUCCUCUUCCCUUCGAGUCAAAGGAGCUUGUUAUCAAGCUACCUGAGGAAGAUCGCAGUGCUGGUUCGUCUAGGCCUGCGCGGUAAUAUUAUUGUAUCCUAUGAUGGUCUCUUGACAUUUUACAUUAUAUCCGAUGUCAUAAUUGCUUACCUCUGAUCUUUCUGGUUGCCUGUCACUGCAGGAAGGAGCGACAAUUUAAGGUUGCAAUCAAACUGGCCUCCAAGCCAGACCUUCAUUAUCUCAGGGAGUUUUUGAGCAGAAAGCAUUUUGAAUGUCCUCAAGAAGCUAUUCAAGUUCUGGAUGUUGUUCUUAGAGCUAAACCAUCUCAGAUGUAACUGCCUGUUGAUUAAUGUUAAACAUUUCUGGCUAUUAAAUUGUUGAAACCAUUUUAUAUGACAUCAAAUUAAUACAUUUGAAACAUCAUUUGGCAGAUAUACUGAGGUGGGAAGGUCUUUUUUCUAUACAUCAUUAGGUCCUAGAGGAGAACUUGGUAAUGGAACAGAAUACUGGUCUGGAUAUUAUCAGAGUCUUCGACCCACUCAGAUGGGUUUAUCUCUUAAUAUUGGUAGGUACUUUGAUUGCUCAGUUUGUGUAGCCACUUUGUUCCUAAUGUUUCAGUAUGAAGAUUUACUGGUUUUGCUUUGCAGAUGUGUCUGCUCGAUCAUUCUAUGAGCCAAUUUUAGUUUCAGAGUUUGUUGUGAAACAUUUCCGACGAUCAAACCUGUCAAAGCCGCUGUCUGAUCAAGAUCGUAUUAAAGUACGUAUAUAUUGAAUUCAGUGUUUAUUAAUCAAAACUUGCAGAAUUUUUUUGCAAUGCUUCUUUUGCCGUAUUUUUUAGGUGAAAAAGGCCUUGAAGGGAGUAAGAGUUAGGCUCAUCUACAUGGAUUAUGCCAAAACUUGCAAGAUUAUUGGAGUAUCUAGAGACCCUAUAAGCCAGUUGACGUGAGUUUGUUGUUAUAAUACUAUACCUGCUCAUAAAUAUUUUUAGUAAGCUACUUUUAUGUGGCCUGUGUGGUAGAAUUGUUUUUGGGUUAUUUGUAGUCUUGUAUUCACUACUUAUCUAAGUUACAUCUUAAAAUUGAGUUGGUUUUAUUUUUAUUUUUUGCAGUUGACAGUUUUUAGUAUUUGGCUUGGUUAUGUCUUGUUCUAAAAUAUUGUUUAUGCUUAUACAUUUGUAAAAUCUUGUGCUUAUGGUACAUUUGUACCAUUCUGUCUCAUUAUGUUUCUGUUCAAUUUUUGGCUGUUUUAGAUUUCCUCUUGAUGAUAAGAGAACAAAUGUCUCUGUGGUCAAGUAUUUCCGUGAGAAAUACAAUGUUGUGCUUAAAUAUCCAUCCUUGCCUGCACUUCAAAGUGGAAGUGAAGCUAGACCUGUCUACCUGCCAAUGGAGGUUUUUACUUUAUAUCAAGAUGAUCUUGUUUUUGUUUUCUUUUUGUUUGUUACUGAUUCUCCUGUAUGAUUUUGUUUUACAGCUUUGUAGUAUCGUUGAGGGUCAAAGAUACACAAAAAAACUAAAUGAACAACAAGUUAGAUCUCUGCUGAGAGCAACUUGUCAACGUCCGAACAUUAGGGAGGGGAAUAUUACAAAGGUACUACAGUUUUGGAUGCUUAUUAUUUUUUAAAUUGGUUGAUAAGAUGAGAAUUUUGAUUCAUUGGCAUUUCAUGUUUCUGCAGAUGGUCCAGGUCAAUAAUUUUGAGGUGGAGGAGCUUGUUACUAAAGAAUUUGGAAUGCAUGUUCGCAAAGAACUUGCAUUGAUUAAUGCACAAGUUCUAAAUCCUCCAGUGGUACUUUUAAGCCAAUAUGUUAUAUUUUCAAGGAUACUGUCAGUCUUAUAAUACGAUUAAUGUCUGUUUUGGUUGCUGCAGCUAAAGUAUCACGAUAGUGGACGUGACAAAAUCGUUAAUCCUAGUUGCGGGCAAUGGAACAUGAUCAACAAGGUGGUAUUUUUUUUUCUUCCCCUCUUCUUUGAAGUGGCAUUGUUUGUAAAAUUUAAGGAAUCAGACCUGUCUCUUCAGUCUCCUCUUGUUCCAGAGUUCUUGUUCAUUUUUUCAAUUCAUUUUUAAGGUAGCUAUAAGUCUUUUGGGAAAAUUUUGAUAGGUUUUAAGGUUCAACAGUUUUUUUUUUUUUUUUGCAGAAAAUGGUCAAUUGGGGUAAAGUCGAUUUCUGGUCUUGUGUGAACUUCUCCUCGGAAUAUUGGAAUAUGUCAGAAGAGUUCUGUGCGGAGCUGGUGAAUAUGUGUAACAACAAAGGAAUGGUAUGCUGUGUGGUUUUUUUUAGUGUAGGUGGAUGGUAUAUCUGUUAUUUAUUUAUCACUAGCAUGAUUUCCCAUUUUGUGACUCUAGGUGUUUUGCCAAACUCCUUCAAUUGCAAUGCGAUCAGCUUGUGCUGACCGAAUUGAUCAGAUUCUCAUGGAUGUAUACAAAGAGUCUGCAGGCUUGAAUAAGCCACUUCAGUUGUUGAUAAUUAUCUUACCUGAUCAGACUGGCUCUUACGGUAAGAAAUUCUGAUGUUUUGUAAAUAGGUAAUUCCUGGGGUUUCUUUGCGCGACUCAAAUCUUUUUGCUUGCAGGAAAAAUAAAGCGAAUUUGUGAGACGGAGCUAGGUAUUGUUUCACAAUGUUGUAAGCCUGUGCAAGCUGCAAAGUUUAGCAACCAAUAUUUUGAAAAUGUUGCUCUCAAGAUCAAUGCUAAGGUAUGUGUUUUGCCUCACUGGUGGUGAUUUGAUAUAGUGUUUUCUUGUCUUGUUAUCUUAAUUCAUUUGAGAAUUGUAAAUUCUGUAGGUUGGGGGGCGAAAUACUGUGCUGAACGAUGCUAUUUUAAGGAGAAUUCCGCUUGUGACUGAUGUCCCUACAAUCAUUUUUGGGGCAGAUGUCACUCAUCCGCCGCCUGGCGAAGACUCUAGUUCUUCUAUAGCUGCAGUAAGCAUAUUCAUUGUUCUCUACAUCCCCAUUUUGUUACUUGAUCAUAUUUAAGAGGUUAUUGGCUGGAUGCAGGUCGUUGCUUCAAUGGAUUGGCCUGAGGUAACCAAGUAUCGUGGAAUUGUCUCUGCACAGACUCACCGGAUGGAAAUAAUCCAGGAUCUUUAUAAACAAACAAAGGAUCCACAGAAGGGUUUAGUUGAGGGUGGAAUGGUUAGGUAGGGAGAUAGAUUUAUUUCGGGCUUAAUUUUUUAGUUUCUUCUGGACGUGCUCUACUUUCUUAACAUUUCAAGUUCUCUGCAGGGAAUUGCUUGUUGCUUUCUUCAAGUCAACAAGACAAAAGCCUUCUAGAAUUAUCUUCUAUAGGUAAUGUUUGCUUUUGACCAUCCAAAUAUAUGUAUAUACUUCUAGCAGCAGUGCUGACAUCUGAUUUUUGAUGUGGCAGAGGUGGUGUUAGUGAAGGACAAUUCAGCCAAGUUUUGCUUUAUGAAAUGGAUGCGAUUUGGAAGGUAUUGAAAUCACUGUAUAAUGUCUAUUAUAGUUGGUUCACUGUAUAAUGGAUGCUUCUGACCCCUGCAGUUUUCUUCCUUCCAGGCUUGUUCCUCGCUACAGGAAGGAUAUAUGCCUCGGGUUACAUUUGUUGUGGUUCAAAAGAGGCAUCAUACUCGCUUAUUCCCUACUGAUCGCAACAAAACUGAUGGGAGUGGCAACAUAUUACCAGGUGAUUCUAAUCUUAUAAUAGGGAUUUGAUCGUAUUCUCUUGAUCUUCAUUUUGUUAGCAUAUUUUAAUGUAGCCAAUAAAUUUUAGGUACUGUUGUGGAUACUAGCAUCUGUCAUCCAACCGAGUUUGAUUUUUAUCUCAAUAGUCAUGCUGGAAUCCUGGUUAAAUGAGGCUUCCCUUGAAGUGUGAUGGUUUUUAUGUUAAUUUUGUCCGAUCUGAUACUGAUGUUGUUGUGUAGGGGACAAGCAAGGCCACACGUUACCACGUUUUGUUUGAUGAAAAUGGCUUCAGUGCUGACAUCUUGCAAGUGCUCACAAACAGUUUAUGUUACACGUAUGUGUUUACUCCUUUCUCUAUAAUCCUGUAAUGGGGUGAAUAAAUAAUGCUUUAGAUCAGCACUAGUAAUUAUAUAGUAAUAAUUUUACUUUGUGGAUAGGUAUGCGAGGUGUACCAAGUCCGUUUCCAUAGGUUUGUGAUGAUGUUUUUUUGUCUUGUUAAAUUUGUUAACUUAAGGUUGGUUUUGACAGUGAAUAUUUGAAUUAUAUGUUUGCAGUGCCUCCGGCAUACUAUGCUCACCUCGCUGCUUAUAGGGCACGCUAUUAUAUUGAGGAUGAGAUGUCGGAUAGUGGGUCUACUGGUGGAGGCCGAAAGCCGAAAGACAAGGUUGUAGAGUUUAGGC
rnacentral:lncRNA from 1 species